CAUCCACCCAACCUUAUCCUAUUGCUCAAAAAAAAUAGUCCUGUCUGCUUCCCCGUUCUUAUCUCCUUCCCACAUCUGCUCACCCUCGUCCGCUCACCCUCGUCUGCUCUCUACCUGCACUGUACCCGCGGUCGCGUGGAUCCCCCGCAAGCAGAGGAGCUCCCAGCCAGCCAAGUUGUAGAUCCCUUCAUCUGUUCUGAUGCUCACCAAGGGCAACAAGAUCCUCCACCCAGGACAAAUCUAAUUACCAAGCCCUCUGAGUGUAUCUUGUGGAUCUAUUCUCAUGGAGUUGGUUGAGCUAUCCAGCACAUCACUGGCUGAAGCAAUGUUCAUGAAACUCGGUCUCCCUAAACCAGUGUACUUUGUGCAUCAUCUUCCACAAGAUCGAUUUAGAACAGAGAUUCAGUUUCACCGCACAAAAGCACGGUACCAUGCUUCAGCGCACCGGACAAAAUUAUCAAGCCGUAUAUGUCGCAAUGGGGUAGCAUCAAUGAAUCAUGCAGCCGAGAAGGCCAUCGAAUACAUGCAGAACAAAGAGGGCAAUUUCCUGAGUUAACUAUGGCUGGAUUCGCUGAUGCACUGAGGCCGGAUAAGUUUAUCGGUGUGCACUUUAAGAGGUGGCAGGUGAAGACCACGCUCUGGCUUACUGCUCUGAAAGUUUUCCACGCUAGUGUUGGUGCUCCAGAGGGAAUGACCGACGAAGAUCGGAGAAAAUUUCAGGAAGCCAAUAUUAUGUUUGUGGGAUGCAUUCUGAGUGUUCUUGCUGACCGUUUGUGUGAUGUGUACAUGCACAUAAACGACGGAAAAAUUCUGUGGGAUGCACUGAAUGCAAAACUCGGUGCAACAGAUGCAGGCAGUGAACUGUACAUCAUGGAGAGUUUUUAUGACUACAAGAUGGUGAAUAAUCGUUCUGUGGUUGAACAAGCUCAUGAGAUACAGUGCAUUGUGAAGGAACUUGAACUCCUUAAAUGUGUUCUACCCGACAAAUUCGUGGCUGGGUGCAUGAUUGCAAAGUUGCCUCCUUCAUGGAGGAAUUUCGCCACAACUCUGAAGCAUAAGAGACAGGAGAUAUCAGUUGAAAAAUUUGAUUGCAUCUCUUGAUGUUGGAGAAAAAGCUCGGGCUAAAGAUACCACUGAAAAAGGAGGUGAGGUUCAGCCUACUGCUAACAUGGUGCAGAGGUACCCACAGAACAAGAACAAAGGGAAGACCAAACCUGUUUUCAACAAGCCUACCAAGACUACUACCUUCAAGAAGAAGAAGUUCAACAAGGCUGAGCUAGAUUGCUAUGCCUGUGGGAAGCCUGGACACUUUUUCAAGGAAUGCCCUGAACGUGCAGACCGCAGAGGGAAAACAAGCUCCAAGACUGUCAACAUGGUGACCGCUAGCAAUACUGAUGGGUCGCAAGGGAUUCUUCCGUCUUAAUGGGGAAUGAGUCACAUGCUUCUGUUCGUGGCAUUGACACGGUGGAUCUGAAGUUUACUUUGAGAAAGAUCGUGCAACUAAGGAACGUGCAGCAUGUCCCUACUAUGAACAAGAAUCUAGUUAGCGGCUCCCUUCUAUGUCGAGAUGGUUUUAAGGUAGUUUUAGAG